rnacentral:lncRNA from 1 species
AGCUUUGCAAACUGUCUUCUUAGCCUCUGAAGUUUCCAAGGCAUAGACUCCUACAGUGGAAAACUGCUAGUUGCACAGGCCAGAACACCCUUAGCUGGAACAGCAUUUGAGAGUUGCCAGUAUCUUUAUCACUGAUCUUUAUGGUAAUGGAGAUAAUUGAUGUACAGGUCAAAUAUCACUGCUCAGCUGCCUAAGAAAAUGAAACUACCAUUUCCGGGAAGGAAGUGGAUGCAAAUACCCAUCUUCCGCUGUGCUCCUCACGUCUUGCAGCUUUCUGCAAUUCCAUCUCUUACACUUCACUCUCAGGAUUCAGAUCCAUCCAUUGUGUAAUU